AAUAAGCCAUAUGUCUGCCGCUUAAUUUGAACUACAUCAUCCUAAAUAAAUGAUAAGAUCCAAUUAUGAUCUGAAUAAAUAUUUUAAAGUGAUUCCCUAAUAUGAAAUUAGGCUACCUACUAAAAGAAUAAUUAUGAACUUUAAAGUGUGUUUGAUUUAUGGUUUUGAGUUUGAUGGAGCCAUGGAGGUGCAUGUCGAAACCAAAACACAGUCUUUUUUAUGGUGGUGACUGAAAAUUUGUGUAAAGAAUUUGGGUUCUUGAUUGCUUCAAAGUAAGAAUCCCCACAGAGGUAACCCUGCUUUUGUAGUAGGGUCAGAGCUGAAUGUUAUCUGUUGUCGUCAAUUAAUAUCAGGUAACCCUACUUUUACUUUAUCAAUUAUUGCCUUUCAUUUUUUUUUAUUUUUUUUGAGAAUGUCCUUUCAUCUGUUCUUUACAUGAUUAAUUC